rnacentral:misc_RNA from 1 species
GGGGAGCUCAGCCAAAGGACCGACGCCCAGGCCUGCCCGGGAGCCUGCUCAAGACGAACUUGAUCUCGGUUGUCACACAGUCCGCUGCGCCUGCACCUUCCGCACUCAUGACGGACUCGGGGCUCUCAACUGCAGCGACACGCCGGUGCGUGGCCAGAUCCCUGAUUCAGAGUCAUAGGGCCGCUAGGAAUGAGCC